UUUCCGCAGGUGAUGAUGCAUAUAAAGUGCUCUCUGAGUCGGAUCUCUCUGCCUCCUGUGUUCAGACAGACAGUCUUUGGGGAGUUAUACUCAUAAUUCACAGUGCUCUCCCGACCCGCUGAAAGUAAUGGAUCGUAUAUCAUUCAGUUAUCUUCCUGUGCAUGUGGAGCUUCAGAGGCCCCAAGAGUGAAGACCAGGGAAGACCAGUGGAGAAGCAAGAACAGUGAAGUGUUCAAUGGCCAUAGAAGACCAGUGAAGACUACCAAAGACAAGUGAAGACCAGCAAAGACCAGAUGAGACCAGAUAAGACCAGCAAAGACCAGUGAAGAAUAAUGAAGUAUUGCACAGCGUCAAUGCAACAGAGACCUCCCUUCGUUUAAGGGAUUCCAUUUAUUCUCUUUCCAAACAUCACACAUUUCUCAAGUGUCCGCCCAAGUGUAACAUUGCAUGCCAUCUUACAUGUCUGCUUCACCAAAAAAUCCUCUCACAAGACAGAUUCCAUAAAAACAUCAGUGAAACUAAUAAACUUCCAAUGAAGCUGGAAAUUUCCACUGUA